rnacentral:rRNA from 1 species
UACGACGACCAUACCACCCUGAAUGUGCCUGAUCUCGUCUGAUCUCGUCUGAAGCCAAGCAGGGACAGGCCUGGUUAGUUCUUGGAUGGAAGAUCACCUAAGAAUACCAGGUGCUGUAGGCA